rnacentral:lncRNA from 1 species
CCCCAAAGUCUGAAUAGUACGUUUUUCUUGUCCAUCCGUUUGAGGGUGGACAACGGUGCUAAGGUUUACCUAAGUACCCAAACCUUUAUGAAACGAACACCAGAAGUGAGAAGAAAAUUAUGUAGCCCAGUCUAAAAUGAUGGACACACACACACAAUACAACUUCACAAUAUCCUCAAUGAACAACUUAGCAUGAUUCUAUCC